UAAUACGAACUGUGCAAACGUUAUUCGGAAUCACUGGGCUUAAAGGGUGCGUAGGCGGCUUGCCAAGUAGGGUGUGAAAGCCCCCGGCUUAACCGGGGAAUUGCGCCCUAAACUGGCGAGCUGGAGUGAGAUAGGGGUGUGUGGAACUUCCGGUGGAGCGGUGAAAUGUGUUGAUAUCGGAAGGAACGCCGGUGGCGAAAGCGACACACUGGGUCUCAACUGACGCUGAGGCACGAAAGCCAGGGGAGCGAACGGG
rnacentral:rRNA from 1 species